rnacentral:lncRNA from 1 species
AGGUUCCUGAAGGUAUAGAGUCACGUCCCACAGAGCUAGGCCUACAGAGGAUCAGUUGAUUGUAGCUCCAGAGCUGAAGAGAUGUCUUGCACAGUUGGGCCUCAACUUAGAGGACCGGAGAGUUUGAGAAGCUUUGGAAGAAAUUUGACAGCGAAGGACUUGGAGCCGUGAACGUGAGAGGUUUGCUAAGGAAACUUGGACUGAGCCAGAGAAAGACCUCAGACACCAACGAUAAUAAUGAUCAAGUUUCAUCUUCUAUCAAUGGUGAAGACACCAAAGGUAAGAACAAAGGAAAGACGUUCUGCAUAUCUUCAUAUUCCAUCAGAAACGGUAUG